ACGGAGGGUGCAAGCGUUGUCCGGAAUCAUUGGGCGUAAAGCGUUCGUAGGCGGCAUACCAAGUCUGGUGUUAAAUCCCGGGGCUCAACUCCGGUCCGGCACUGGAUACUGGUAAGCUAGAAUGUGGUAGAGGUAAAGGGAAUUCCUGGUGUAGCGGUGAAAUGCGUAGAUAUCAGGAGGAACACCGGUGGCGUAAGCGCUUUACUGGGCCAUAAUUGACGCUGAGGAACGAAAGCCGGGGGAGCAAAUGG
rnacentral:rRNA from 1 species